GGUUCUGUGGUGUAGUUGGUUAUCACGUCAGUCUAACAUUUGCGGUGGGUUUACCCAACGCAUUCGGGUGCACUGAAGGUCCCCGGUUCGAGCCCGGGCGGAAUCA